rnacentral:rRNA from 1 species
UGGGGAAUCUUGCGCAAUGGGCGAAAGCCUGACGCAGCCAUGCCGCGUGAGUGAUGAAGGCCUUAGGGUUGUAAAACUCUUUCACCGGGGACGAUAAUGACGGUACCCGGAGAAGAAGCCCCGGCUAACUUCGUGCCAGCAGCCGCGGUAAUACGAAGGGGGCUAGCGUUGCUCGGAAUUACUGGGCGUAAAGGGCGCGUAGGCGGAUCAGCAAGUUGGGGGUGAAAGCCCGGGGCUCACCUCGGAAUUGCCUUCAAAACUGCUGAUCUAGAGUACGGGAGAGGUGUGUGGAACUCCGAGUGUAGAGGUGAAAUUCGUAGAUAUUCGGAAGAACACCAGUGGCGAAGGCGACACACUGGCCCGUUACUGACGCUGAGGCGCGAAAGCGUGGGGAGCAAACAGGAUUAGAUACCCUGGUAGUCCACGCUGUAAACGAUGAUUGCUAGUUGUCGGCAGGCAUGCCUGUCGGUUGACGCAGCUAACGCAUUAAGCAAUCCGCCUGGGGAGUACGGUCGCAAGNUUAAAAACUCAAAGGAAUUGACGGGGGUCAUAGCUGUUUUCCCAU